UCUCUGAACCCAGAAGCACCAACUCACUCUUCUCCCUCUCCCAAUCACCCGCAGUCGCAGAGUAAACACAGCUUCCUUCACUACGGAAGAAAGGUGCAGAAGAAGGGAGGUAGGGGAGGCCUUACCACCAUCGAUCCACCACCUUGGAACUCGCCAUCGAGCUGCUUUGCGGCGCCGCCCAUGGAGUCACUAGCUCGCGUCACCGCCGAUCAUCGUCGAGCCACCGUCGGAAGCCGAACCACGAAGGAGAAGGACGCAAGGCAGGGGCCGACGAGAAAGAGGAAGGGCGCGCGUGUGGGAGCUCAGCCGCGGGGAGAGGAGGUGCGCAUCUAAACCUUCGCCGCCGUUGGAGUCGCGCAGAGAGAGACGCGAAGAGGGAGAGCAGUCGCGCAUCCAGCUGCGUCCUCACCGCCGCGGGAGGAAUCGUCGCCGUCAAGCGCGGUGGAAGGCAGAGAGAGACAGAGCUUGCAUCUGAGACUGGGAGGAGGUGGGGUUUCGCCGUUGUUGGGGUCUCACCACCGCCGUCCCCGUGGUGGCUGGUGUCGUUGUCGGAGAAGACCACCGGAGUUGCGGUCUGCCUCUGCCUCGGGGUUCUGCAAGUUGCCGGAGCCCACUGCCGCUAGAGUUGCCCAGAACCACCACCGUGGCUGCCGCUGGGAUUGUGAACGGAAGGAGGAGACGCUGUUUCCGUUACAGCCACUCCCGGAGGAGAAGGCAACCGCGCCGCCACUCCCGGAGGAGAAGGCAACCGCGCCGCCGUGCCGAGUCACCGGAGAACCUCGCUACCGUCGCCGGAGAACUCUUCCGAUGUCGUGAUCGGAAUUUGUCACCGCAGCCGCUUGAGGUGGCUGCCGGGCUGCUGCCGAGCCGGCCCGGAGACCGUCACUGUUUCGGUUCAGCCGUCCUUUCUUAGUCUCAGUAAUGUUGCUAUGGUUAUUGCAAAAGUGGCUGGGAGCUGAGGUUUUGGUUUCCGUCAGUUCGGUUUGAGGCAGAAAGGACUUGAUGAGGCAUUUGAGCUAUGGUUUUGCUUUUUGAGGAUUUGGACGCAGAAGUUAUGAAGAGUUUAAUUAUUCGUUAUUGAGAUGCUCUGUAUUGCUUUAGAUUAUUAUUUUUGUACCCUCGCCUUUAUCUUGAUAUAUUCUGUGAGAGGGAUAGGAAUUAUACUGGAUAAUGUUUGUAAUAU